rnacentral:lncRNA from 1 species
CUGGGUUCCUGCAAUGAAGUCUCUGAAGUGAAACUGCUUGUUUCCUAGCACACACUUUUGGUUAAGUCUGUUUUAUGACUUCAUUAAUAAUAAAUUCCCUGGCCUUUCAUAUUUUAGCUACUAUAUAUGUGAUGAUCUACCAGCCUCCCUAUUUUUUUUCUGUUAUAUAAAUGGUUAAAAGAGGUUUUUCUUAAAUAAUAAAGAUCAUGUAAAAGUAACAAAUGUGUGAAAUUUAAAGAUUGUAAAUAUAUAUUUACUUUUUUAAGAUCAAAGUUUAAACCCGGUGGUUAGAAUUUUGUGUGUUUUUAAAUACU